UAUAAAUUUAAUUCAAUCUUAAAGGAUAAUAGUCCAUUUAAAAGGAAUUCUCGAAUUAUUCUCACCUUUCCAUUUUAUUCAAAUUUCUCACACUUUACGUAUCACUCACACACAUGCUAAAGUUACUCAAUUUUCACAAUUAAUUUCGCACACCAUGCUAAGAAAUAUACUCCUCGUAGAAAGAGGGAAAUCGUAACCGUGAUAAAACUUCUUUCCGUAUAAAUAAUCCAAUGCUCGGCAUUAAAUAUCUUAUAAUUAUCCCGUCUUCCAUUUCACUGCUUGUCACGACAAAAAUUACGUUUCCUAACGAACGACUUGAACGUGGCUACUCGUCGAAGUCGUUUUUCUCGCGCAGCCAACUUCAGAAGCUGCCUGUUGAUCAGUUACGAUUACGAAAAUGCCAAGAUGGCGUCCGAUUUGAACGAAUUAUUAUUCCGCUCGUAUUCCGUUUCUCCAUGGCGUUUAUACGUUUUUAAUAGAUCAGUCUCUAUCGCGAACAACUUGCAAUUUCUCGGUAAUAAACCCUCUUGUAAUCAAAAUCAGUGCUUUGACUACGAAUUAUUAGAAAAUAGGUUAAAUCGAAUCAUGUGUUUAAUUGAUUCCUCGUGCACGCUUCGUUUACGACAAACUUGCUCGACGCGAAUCUUUCGAUCGGCAUCAUCGUUCAUUCAAUCAUCAAUGUUGGUUACUGUAAUCAUCUUGUUAAACUGCUAUGCUUUGGAUUAUCGUUAUCGCGACAAUUCUCUUUUCGUUCUCGACACUUUCGCCUAAACUAAUAUUUCCUAGUGCAAUUUUGUUUCCGUAAUACGAUGCCGCUAUUACUGUUGUGGACAAAAUGUUUCUUAUUUUGCUGUGUUAAGAAAACUACAGUUACUUUUUUCAUUGCAGAGUGUGAAGUAGUUCGAAGAAGCAGCAUCCAAAGUAGUAAUCCUUCAUCCUAAGUAUCAUGCUGAGUUUCUGAUCCUUGUCGACGAGCCCUUUGCAUGCAGCCCACAUGAGUGGUGACCAGCAAGACUGAUCGCUUCUAUGUAAAAUAAUAACAUCGAUUCACUCCCCGAGUCACGCAUGGAUUUCACGUUCAUUGACCAGGGAAAACGUAUCAUUAGAUCGCGGAAAUUAGUGGUUGAGAGGAGGAACGCGAAGGAUGUCUGUAUGUGGUGCAAAAACACGUUGAGAAAGAAAUCGAUUGAAUCCGCUGGUUGUAUUGCUGAAAAAAUACAUGGAAAUCCUGUUUGUUUCAAACGGAUAACGUGCUUCCAUUGAAGUCACAAAAAUUAUUUAAAGAGGCGAAGAAAGGAUUACAAAAUUCACUACAUUUAUAUAUUCGCCGUAACAAUUCACCUUAAAAUUACACGAAGCUGCAUAUUCGUCUGAUCAUUCCAAUUCAAUUUUCUCACGCGGGAAGCCAGGUGGUCGACGAGGAAGCGAGAAGAUAAAGAAGAA